rnacentral:lncRNA from 1 species
AUUUAUAAUAAUAAAAAAUAAAAAUAAAACAGACUCUAUUCCGUUUACUAACGAAGACAUUGUUGAAAAGAGUCUGGAGAAAAUCGAGGAGUCUUUUUUUAAGCGAUAAGUUUUGUGUAUAAAUAUUUGUGUAUAUAUACAUAUAUGUACUUAUUCGAUAAGUUUUUUUUUUUUUUUUUUUUUUUUUUUUUUUCGCACUCUUAUACUCUUCGUUUCGUACUUACUAUGUUUCAUUUUACCUUUUCUUUUUUUUUACGCCUAUACUUAUGAACAUAUGCAUAUAUAUACAAUUAUUAAUCAUUUUACAAAACGUAUGUAAAAACAAACAAACUCUAACUAAGGUUUUAAAUAAAAAAGAAAAAUUAUUACACAUACUUAUAUAUACUAUUUUUUUUUUUUUUUUUUUUUUUUUUUUUCCAAGUAUACUUCAAUAGUAACAACUGAUAAGUUAAACGAUUAAGCUUAAAGUUUUAAAAACGAACACACACACACACAUACGUAUAUGCAUGCAUGUAAAUAUAUAUAUUAAAUCAUCAAAUAAAACAUAAACUGUGUUCUUUUUGCUUUAUUUUUUCUCCUAAUAAAUGUAUAUUUAUAGUUCUCACAAUGUUUGAGUGUAGGGACAAUUUUAUAUACCGCGUAAACAGUUUAUCGUCUUUAUAAAAAAAAAAAAAUAAUAAAUAAAAAAAUAAAAAAAAAAAAAGAAAAAAACAUAUACAUAUAUGUAUAUAUAUAUAUGUACAUGUACGUACGUAAUGGCGUAAAAAAAUAAAAUACGAUAAAAAUAAGGUCUAACAAGACGAUAUAAGACUUACCCAGUUUUUCAGAAUUAAUCAGACAAUAUAAGACCCAGUACGACUUAAGUUGUAAACAGGCACUCCGCUCUAUGUACAAUGAACUUUUUCCUUCCAACCGUAGUAGUAACAUUAAAACUCGUGGUACUGUGGGCAUGUAUUUACUUAAAAAAUAAUCACCAACUUGCUUUGAAAGAAAGAAACCUUUUUUUUUUUUUUUAUGUACUUUCCUCUCUCCUGUAUAUAGCUUCUUCCUUAUGUGACCCGGGGUAUGUAAUUAGUUGUCCUUCGGAGUAUAUAAACAAAAAAAAGGCUUACGAAUUUAAAAAAAAUGUACUACCCAAAUAUAAUGAACAAAUCUUUAAUAAAAACUAUACAUCCGUAAAUUAUUUUUCUGAUGACACCAACAAAUCAUGGAGUGGUUCCAGUUCCCUUGUAUGUUCUUCUACAUCAUCAUACAACACAUCUCAACAUGAAAUGAACAGUUUAACAAUUAUUCAUAAUGCAAAAAAGGACACAAUUUUAACUGAAAGUGCUAUGAAAAAAAAAUUUAAAAAUGCGAAAAACAAACUUUCUAAAAAGAAAGAGGUACCUUUAUUGUUUGAAAAAUAUACACCAUAUGUAGCUGAGUCAUACAUAAGCGAAGAAUUUAAAACUGGAACGAACAAAAAAUACAAUAAAAAAGAGCAUAUUAUUAAAUUUAAAAAUUUGUUUUAUAAUAAUUAUGAUAAUAUGAAAGAACUUGGAAAAAUGUAUCUAUUUUUAAAAAAAAAGAAAAAAAAAAAAAUCAUUAGUUAUGUAGGAGUAAAAAAUAUGUCUAAUUACGUAGGAGUAAACAAAAAUAAACACAACGGUUACGGUUAUGAUUACGGUUAUGAUUACGGUUAUGAUUACGGUUAUGGUUACAGGUAUAGGUGUAGGUAUAGGUACAGGUAUAAGUACAAACCAACUGACUUAAAGAAAGUUAACCAGUUUGAAAAAACAAUACAUAGUCAGAUACUUAAGAUGGAAGAAACAAAUGAUAGAGGUCAACAAGAAGCAAGUACGCGCACAUACAAAAAUGAUAAUUUUCUUUUUAACAUCCAGAACCAAACAGAUAAACAAAAAAUAAAUUUUGUCCCAAAUUUUAUAUACCACUUAAAUAAAACAGAUAUAAUUUUUUCAAAGAACAUAAAAAAAAAAAAAAAUGUUUUUUAUAUAGCUGGUGAUAAAUUUUAUCAAUAUAAUACGGAAUUGAAAUAUUGUGACACAUGUGAUACUUUGCAGGUUACAUAUAUAUAUAUAUAUACAUAACAAUAAAAAUUUAAUCAAAAAAAUAUAUACGCA